rnacentral:rRNA from 1 species
AUGCCGGGCAGCAUCCGAGUCUCAGCGUCGCUGCUGCGUCUCGUCAAAAAGAAAAAGAGAUCACACUGCUCUAUCUUUUGCUGUGCAGACAUUCAGCCACCGGUCGCCGCUCCACUCUUCUUGCAAGUUAACCUCGGGAAAAAAGAGUACAGCGGAUAUAUAGGACAAGAUGGCUUCUCUUUUCCAGUUACAUCACUUCGUGAUAGCAUGGUGUUGUCGCUGUACGAUGCAGACAAGGAAUUGGUAUCCAAAACAGAAUUGAAGACAAGGUCGAUUGUCGAGCAGGGGAGUACGGAUGUUGUGUUUAGCCUUGAUAGUGGAGGGCAAAUUGUUCUCCAAUUGCAGUUCUUGCUCAGUGAUGAAGAUCGCAAACGCAUCCAAGAAAUGAGGAACUCUGCGAUGAAAAGAAAGCAGCAAGAGCUGUUUGGGAAUGGCGACGAACUUUCUUUCCAAGACAACACACCACCUAAAGAGCAGGCAGAAGAGAUCUCCGACAUCACAAGCACAGAAGACCGACUCACGCUCCGGAAGAGCAUGUCGAUGGAUGAUCUGAAAGGGAAGGCUGUCUUUUCCGAAAUAAGCAUAGAUACGAAUAUGGCGUCUCCAAAGAACCCGCCGUUGCAAACUUCGACGUCCGAAGGCCCCAUUGACAUAAAGGGUCUACCGCCGAAAAGUGACAUUGGCUCUAAGAGAGGGCAGGGUGAACUGGAGAGCAGGUCGAGCAGCGCGGUGAAGAAGAUGAUCAGCGCCUUCGAGAGCAGCUCUCUGCAGGGACCGCCUUCGGUGCCAAUGAUCAAGUUGGAAGGGUCGUUGGAAGGGAUGCUAUCGGCUUCCACCAAUCCUCCAGACAAGUCAUCUGGCAAAGUGACCGUUACUUCUGGUGAUAUAGGUUCUGAGUCGCGGUUAGGAAGGCACAUCAUCAACAAGAAACCAAGCGCGUCUAGACAGGGCGAUUUGUUGAAUGCUCAGGAGAGCAGAAGACGGGGUUCCAGCAGGCGCGACAGAGCAGCCAAGACGAGCAUGGGAGAGAAUGCAGAAAAGCAAAAUCACCAUCGUCGCUCCAUCGCUCCAAUGCGUUCGGGGGUGACAUCUAGCAUCGCCUGGACUGGCCACCCCCACAUCUGCAUCACCACCGGGAGCAGGCAGCUGAAAGACCUCGUCGGGCUUAAGCACCUGAAUUCGAUGAAGAACAUAGAGCAGAGCGCAAGGGAAGAAGACACCAAACAAGGCACAAGCAACGACGACGCGGUGGGCUCCAAGCGGCGGCGAUUUUACGGGUUCCCUGCACUAAAUGGGUGGCUGAUCAACCAGGGGGUGCGCGGCGUGAUCGUCAUCAUAGCCUGCGGCGCGGUGUUCCUCAACAACAGGUGA